rnacentral:rRNA from 1 species
CCUACGGGGAGCAGCAGUGAGGAAUAUUGGUCAAUGGACGAGAGUCUGAACCAGCCAAGUAGCGUGAAGGAUGACUGCCCUAUGGGUUGUAAACUUCUUUUAUAUGGGAAUAAAAUGUUCCACGUGUGGGAUUUUGUAUGUACCAUAUGAAUAAGGAUCGGCUAACUCCGUGCCAGCAGCCGCGGUAAUACGGAGGAUGCGAGCGUUAUCCGGAUUUAUUGGGUUUAAAGGGAGCGUAGGUGGAUUGUUAAGUCAGUUGUGAAAGUUUGCGCCUCAACCGUAAAAUUGCAGUUGAAACUGGCAGUCUUGAGUACAGUAGAGGUGGGCGGAAUUCGUGGUGUAGCGGUGAAAUGCUUAGAUAUCACGAAGAACUCCGAUUGCGAAGGCAGUUCACUGGACUGCAACUGACACUGAGGCUCGAAAGUGUGGGUAUCAAACAGGAUUAGAUACCCUUGUAGUC